rnacentral:rRNA from 1 species
GACGAACGCUGGCGGCGUGCUUAACACAUGCAAGUCGAACGGAAAGGCCCUGCUUUUGUGGGGUGCUCGAGUGGCGAACGGGUGAGUAACACGUGAGUAACCUGCCCUUGACUUUGGGAUAACUUCAGGAAACUGGGGCUAAUACCGGAUAGGAGCUCCUGCUGCAUGGUGGGGGUUGGAAAGUUUCGGCGGUUGGGGAUGGACUCGCGGCUUAUCAGCUUGUUGGUGGGGUAGUGGCUUACCAAGGCUUUGACGGGUAGCCGGCCUGAGAGGGUGACCGGCCACCUUGGGACUGAGAUACGGACCAGACUCCUACGGGCGGCAGCAGUGGGGAAUCUUGCACAAUGGGCGGAAGCCUGAUGCAGCAACGCCGCGUGCGGGAUGACGGCCUUCGGGUUGUGAACCGCUUUCGCCUGUGACGAAGCGUGAGUGACGGUAAUGGGUAAAGAAGCACCGGCUAACUACGUG